GGAAUUUUGGACAAUGGGCGCAAGCCUGAUCCAGCCAUGCCGCGUGCGGGAAGAAGGCCUUCGGGUUGUAAACCGCUUUUGUCAGGGAAGAAAAGCUUUGGGCUAAUACCCUGGGGGGAUGACGGUACCUGAAGAAUAAGCACCGGCUAACUACGUGCCAGCAGCCGCGGUAAUACGUAGGGUGCAAGCGUUAAUCGGAAUUACUGGGCGUAAAGCGUGCGCAGGCGGUUCUAUAAGACAGAUGUGAAAUCCCCGGGCUCAACCUGGGAACUGCAUUUGUGACUGUAGAGCUGGAGUGCGGCAGAGGGGGAUGGAAUUCCGCGUGUAGCAGUGAAAUGCGUAGAUAUGCGGAGGAACACCGAUGGCGAAGGCAAUCCCCUGGGCCUGUACUGACGCUCAUGCACGAAAGCGUGGGGAGCAAACAG
rnacentral:rRNA from 1 species